rfam:Myotis brandtii contig285667, whole genome shotgun sequence.
AGACCAAGAGAGAGGCAGGGUCUGAUCCGCAGCCUCAGUGGCAGCUGUUGAUCAGUACUUGCCUCUCUCUCUCUCCCUC